GUGGAGUUAACAGACCUGCCUCUUCCUGUCAAGAGCUAUCCUACUACUCUUGCCCUCGACUCUGUUUCACAGCUGAAUCUAGGAUUCACAGCACAACUUCAUCUCCCAGAGGGCCGGUUCCCAGGUUCCCAGAGCUUAACCUCAAGUGACAUUUUCAGCUCUUUCCACCCAACUUGCAUUCUGUCUAUCUUCCUAGGUACUGGAGGGGUUUUGUGUUGGUCUCUCCCUGGAGCAUUCCUGCAAGGCCACCAGGUUCCAGAUGCUACCAUGAUGCCAACCAGACUUCCCUGACAUGAUGCCAACCAGACAACCCCACCAAUGUGUCCUGGAGCCCUGAUUCCCCAUAUCCCCACCCCACUGGAGAAAGAGAGAGACAGGCUGGAAGUAUGGAUCCACAUGCUAAUGCCCAUGUUCAGUGGGGAAGCAACUACAGAAGCCAGA